rnacentral:rRNA from 1 species
AACGAACGCUGGCGGCAGGCCUAAUACAUGCAAGUCGAACGAGAAAGCUCUUCGGAGUGAGUACAGUGGCGCACGGGUGAGUAACACGUGGGUAACCUACCUUUUAGUGGGGAGCAACAGAGAGAAAUUUCUGCUAAUACCGCAUAAUCUGGAAACAGGAAAGAGGGCCUCGGCUCUCGCUGAAAGAUGGGCCCGCGGGACAUUAGCUUGAUGGUGGGGUAAUGGCCUACCAUGGCGACGAUGUCUAGCUGGUCUGAGAGGAUGAUCAGCCACACUGGAACUGAGACACGGUCCAGACUCCUACGGGAGGCAGCAGUAGGGAAUAUUGCGCAAUGGGGGAAACCCUGACGCAGCCAUGCCGCGUGUGUGAGGAAGGCCCUAGGGUUGUAAAGCACUGUCCUAAGAGAAUAACGGCAUUAUGGUUAAUACCCAUAGUGUUUGAAGGUAUCUUAGAAG